rnacentral:rRNA from 1 species
UGGGGAAUAUUGCACAAUGGGGGAAACCCUGAUGCAGCGACGCCGCGUGAACGAAGAAGGUAUUCGUAUCGUAAAGUUCUGUCCUAUGGGAAGAUAAUGACAGUACCAUAGAAGAAAGCUCCGGCUAAAUACGUGCCAGCAGCCGCGGUAAUACGUAUGGAGCGAGCGUUGUCCGGAAUUAUUGGGCGUAAAGGGUACGCAGGCGGUUUAAAAAGUCGAAUGUUAAAGAUCGGGGCUCAACCCCGCAAAGCAUUGGAAACUGAUAAACUUGAGUAGUGGAGAGGAAAGUGGAAUUCCUAGUGUAGUGGUGAAAUACGUAGAUAUUAGGAGGAAUACCAGUAGCGAAGGCGACUUUCUGGACACAAACUGACGCUGAGGUACGAAAGCGUGGGGAGCAAACAGG